AUGAAUUGUUAUUAUUGAUGUAUUUCCGUUUAUAUUUUAUUUAUACAUGUUUGUGCUUUCAUUUUACAUAAAUAUAAUUUUUCAUGUUGGUACUGUUAUAUAAAUUGUAUUUUUUAUACUUAGUUUUUAGAAAAUUCUAGUGUAUUUAUAUGUUUUAUGUGAAUUUUUUAUACUGAGCUUUGAGAAAAAUCUAGUAUAAAAUCAAAAGCAAUUAUUGUAUAUAUUGAUACGAAUAAUUUCCACCUAUCUUAUUGAAAGGGUUUUUACGUAGCAAGGUUUUUUACAGUCAUUAAUACGCUAUAUAAGAAUUGUAUAUCUGCCUUGAUGUCACACUUAUCUAUUAAAUUCAGAACUAAAGCCUAUUAGAGGUACAUCAACUACUCUUUAUAAGAAUUGUAUAUCUGCUUGAUGUCACACUAUCUUAUCUAUGAAAUGCAGCACUAAAGCAGCCUAUUAGAGGUACAUCAACUACUCCUUAUAAGUACUGUUUUGCUUGUUUGUAUCUCAUCAUACUAUCUAUAUAUUGUAUACUGGACAAAAGCCCAC
rnacentral:lncRNA from 1 species